rnacentral:lncRNA from 1 species
CAUUUUUCACUGUCUUUUCCUCUACUAUCAAAUUUGCUUCCAUUUCUAGGCAUUCUAAGCAUGUCUUAUCUUAAUGAAAUCUUCUUCUUCCCCUCCAUUCCUUUGUGAUCUCUACCCUCUCCUUUCUUUCUUAGCCAAACUUUUCUCUCUCCAUGUCCUCUCUUCCUGUAGACUUCAGACACUGCAGUCUGGUUUUGAUGACCCAUCAUUCCUCUGUAACUGCUUCAAUGAAUUCCAAGGUGUUAAAUGCAGUGGGCACUGACUUUUUGGCAGCCCCAGAUGCUGACUACCACUUGAACACUCUGUCCUCCCUUGGCUUCCAUAUCCCACCCUGUGCCUGAUUGUCCUGCUCUUCCUAGCGUAUCCUCUUCUCCAUUAUGCCCCCAUGUCCUCAUGUCACCCCAUGUCACUGUCUUCAGCUCCCCCUGUCUUUGUUCUUUCCCUGCUCUCAGUUACACAAUUUGAUCAAAUACCAACUUUCUAUCCUGAUCCAAAGUGCUCUUCCAAGCCCUGGAUCUACAGGUCCACCCCUCUUCUAGCUCACAGAUACUUCAGACUCCAUGGAUCCCACUGGAUUCCAUCCACUUCCAUCCACACUCACUUCCAUCCACACCUCACCUUGCUUAUGCUGAACCACCACCCACCAAGUUACACAAGGCACAGACUUGGGAGCCAUCCCUGACCUUCCCUCUUUCGCCUCCUAGAUAUUCUUUACUCCACUCUCACUUCAUUACUUCUAGGCCCUACUUUCUUACCUAGAUUAUUAGAAUAGCCUCAACUGGCUGUUCUCCUACUCUAGGUGUUACAGUCUGGUCUUUUUUACCACAAUUUUUUUAAUCUACAACAAGAGCAUGUCACUCCCUUUCUUAACAGCCACCAGGGCUCUUUAUCUGCCAGUGUGACUAAAUCUGAAGUCCUGAGUGUAUUUUAAGUCCCUUCUGCUCUCUUAAUUCUCCUUCUCCUUGUCUCUUACUACUGCCCCCCUCCCUCUCUAUCCCCACGUGUGCAC